GCCCAGCACCGAAUCCUUCACCAUUCCGGUGACAGGAAAUGUGGUGUUUAGGCCGUGCUUUGUCCUGAUACGUCUCUCCUCAAGUCCACUUGAUUGUGGCCCCCGGCCCAGAGAGGGUGUAAGGCCCGUGGAGGCGAGAUGUUCAGUGCCUGGUGCGUCCUUAGAGUCGGGUUGUUUGGGAAUGCAGCCCUAAGCGGGUGGUAAACUCCAUCCAAGGCUAAAUACUAGCACGAGUCCGAUAGCGAAGAAUGUACCGCGAGGGAAGGUUGAAAAGAACUUUGAAGAGAGAGUUCAAGAGUACGUGAAACCGCUGAGAGGCAAACUGGUGGAACUGAAAUGGUCCCGAGGAAUUCAGCCGUUGUUGGUUGUACAGCCUGUGGUGUCUGAUCUCACGACUGCACCAUUGGGUGACGCUUUCAUCAUCGGUGCACUUUCCUCGUUCUGGGCCCGACCACGACCGGUGAGCUGCUCUCUCCAUCGUGCUUGGAAGGUAGCGCCAUCUUCGGAGGGCGUGUUAUAGACAAGUGCAUGGAGCAGUACGGCACACUGGACGAUAGUGCCUGCCUUCCGGCUCAUAUGGUGGCCGUUUUACGGGCUAAUGCGAUGUCACUACUUCGGUAGAGGCGUUGAGUUCUGUUUGCAUUACGGUUGUCCGCUAUGAUUGGCACUGGUAAGUCUGUGGUUGUGAAGUAGGUAGUCCACCUGACCCGUCUUGAAACACGGACCAAGGAGUCUAACAUGUGCGCGAGUCAUUGGGUUCACGAAACCUAAAGGCGCAGUGAAGGUGAAGAUCUGUUUUUGGCAGGUUGAGGUGGGAUGCUGGGUCGCGCGCCCAGCCGCACUACCGGCCCGUUCUACAUGUAUCUCAUGAGAGCGGAGCAAGAGCGUACACGUUGGGACCCGAAAGAUGGUGAACUAUGCUUGCGCAGGUCGAAGCCAGAGAAA
rnacentral:rRNA from 1 species